CCUACGGGAGGCAGCAGUGAGGAAUAUUGGUCAAUGGACGCAAGUCUGAACCAGCCAUGCCGCGUGAAGGAUGAAGGCCUUCUGGGUUGUAAACUUCUUUUAUGUGGGAAGAAAAGCAUUGUUUCUACGAUGUCCGACGGUACCAUAGGAAUAAGCACCGGCUAACUCCGUGCCAGCAGCCGCGGUAAUACGGAGGGUGCAAGCGUUAUCCGGAUUUACUGGGUUUAAAGGGUGUGUAGGCGGGUCUUUAAGUCAGUGGUGAAAUCUCCGAGCUCAACUUGGAAACUGCCAUUGAUACUAUUGAUCUUGAAUUCUGUUGAGGUGGGCGGAAUAAGUCAUGUAGCGGUGAAAUGCAUAGAUAUGACUUAGAACCCCGAUUGCGAAGGCAGCUCGCUAAGCAGAUAUUGACGCUGAGGCACGAAAGCGUGGGGAUCAAACAGGAUUAGAUACCCUGGUAGUCCACGCCCUAAACGAUGAUUACUCGACAUACGCGAUACACAGUGUGUGUCUGAGCGAAAGCAUUAAGUAAUCCACCUGGGAAGUACGACCGCAAGGUUGAAACUCAAAGGAAUUGACGGCNGAGAGNGCGAGGACGACGACGAGGGAGAGG
rnacentral:rRNA from 1 species